UACGGGGGGGGCAAGCGUUGCUCGGAUUUACUGGGCGUAAAGGGCGCGUAGGCGGCGCAACAAGUCACUUGUGAAAUCUCCGGGCUUAACCCGGAGCGGCCAAGUGAUACUGUCGUGCUAGAGUGCGGAAGGGGCUACUGGAAUUCUCGGUGUAGCGGUGAAAUGCGUAGAUAUCAGGAGGAACACCGGUGGCGAAGGCGGGUCUCUGGGCCGAUACUGACGCUGAGGAGCGAAAGCGUGGGGAGCGAACAGG
rnacentral:rRNA from 1 species